rnacentral:lncRNA from 1 species
CCCACAAACAGUUCUCGUCUACUCGUAGCAAGCACCACACAUAGACAGGCAUACAAGCAAAAUAGAAACAACUAAGAACAACACAUCAAUCAAAAGAAAAGUUUUAAAAGAGAGCGCACUAAAAGGCAUGACUCGAUGCUAAGGUCACGAGAGCAGAAAAACGACCGAGAAUGAAGCUAUCGUUAAAAAGGAUGUGAUUAAUAGGCAAAAGACUAUGGAGUGUAUUUAUUUUAUUUUAGUAAAACAUGGUGAUGGAUAUUUUAAAGAAAUAUCCUAAAGUGAAAUUAAUCAAAUUAGAUUGAUCGCAAAGCCAGAAAUAAAACUUAGUUAUAUUUUAACUACAAAUAAUUAUAUAUCAUUUAGGCCAUUUAAACAUUUAUAAUUUAGAAAGCAUAAAGCAAGUAAGAGUAACUAAAUGAAUCAUCAUGUUUCGAGGUUUACGUAAGCAGUUCAUAUUUCAAAAGGCAUUAAUGUUGCUAUUAUUCAUAUUAACACUCUUUAUUAAGUCCAAGCUUAUAUACCUAAAUUACUUUUAAUUGAAAGACAAUGAAUAAAUAUUUAUUAUAUUACAACUAGAUCGACUUUAUAUGAAUCAUGCUUCAAUUAGUCAAACUAUAAUUUAAUAAAUAUGUAUAUGAAAAGGUCGAAGAUAAACCUAAACUAUUUUUAAUCAAUUAAAAGGGCACUCAAUACACAUUAAUCAAAAUAAUUAUAUUUAUAAACAUGGAAAAUAAUGUUGAUAACAUGUCGCUAAAGUCGCCCUAAUCGCAAAGUAAUAAAUAUGGAAUUAUAACUCUAUGUCGCUUUUAAUUAUAUAGUUAGAUGCGUAUGUUAAUUAAUUUAAUAAUCAACUAUAUAUAGAAAAAUAUGUAAUAUGAAAAGCAUUGGCACUACCGUGUAGAGUACGACGUCAUGAAUCUAACGCAACUGGAACCAAUGAAUCUACGCAACUGGAACCACUCGAAUCGGAUAUAAAACAAAUAAACUAUUGCUAUUUUCGUCUGGUGGCAAAAUCGUAAUUAAUAUCAUCUUCUACCUUGGAUCUUCAUCUUCACGAACGCAACAACUUGCUGCUGCUUCAUGCAGGGAAGGGAAGGGACUCCGGCCAGGGCUCUGUCGGCCGAGAUAGACGGCAGCCGCGGAGGUUCACGCACAAGGCUGAGGUGGGCUGGUUGCCCCAUACGGCAUGGAGGAUGGCCGCACGACCUCCUGCCUGCUCUGCUGACCUGGCGGGCAGGGGUAGGGCGUGUGCGGAGCAGCGCAGGGCUAUGGACUUGGGUGCCUCGGCUGCGGUGUGGGCGCAGGUCACCGGUGACGCCAUACGGAGUCACCGUGGCCGGAAACGAAGGAGAAGAUUGCGUUGUUCAUGGAGAUACGUCACCGGAAAAGAAAAAGAGAUUAGGGAAAUGAUCAAACAAAAUAGAUUGGUGAAAAGUAUGACGUGACGGUGUAGUGAACAACGAGACGAACUGGUGACGGUUUUUGUAGG